rnacentral:rRNA from 1 species
CGCUGAGGAGCGAAAGCGUGGGGAGCGAACAGGAUUAGAUACCCUGGUAGUCCACGCCGUAAACGAUGAGGGAAGAACAAGUACCGUUCGAAUAGGGCGGUACCUUGACGGUACCUAACCAGAAAGCCACGGCUAACUACGUGCCAGCAGCCGCGGUAAUACGUAGGUGGCAAGCGUUGUCCGGAAUUAUUGGGCGUAAAGGGCUCGCAGGCGGUUUCUUAAGUCUGAUGUGAAAGCCCCCGGCUCAACCGGGGAGGGUCAUUGGAAACUGGGGAACUUGAGUGCAGAAGAGGAGAGUGGAAUUCCACGUGUAGCGGUGAAAUGCGUAGAGAUGUGGAGGAACACCAGUGGCGAAGGCGACUCUCUGGUCUGUAACUGACGCUGAGGAGCGAAAGCGUGGGGAGCGAACAGGAUUAGAUACCCUGGUAGUCCACGCCGUAAACGAUGAGUGCUAAGUGUUAGGGGGUUUCCGCCCCUUAGUGCUGCAGCUAACGCAUUAAGCACUCCGCCU